rnacentral:rRNA from 1 species
UGGGGAAUCUUGCGCAAUGGUCGAGAGACUGACGCAGCGACGCCGCGUGUGGGAGGACGCCUUUCGGGGUGUAAACCACUGUUGCCCGGGACGAAUCGGCCUAUUCGUAGGCCUUGACGGUACCGGGUGAGGAAGCACCGGCUAACUCCGUGCCAGCAGCCGCGGUACUACGGGGGGUGCGAGCGGUGUCCGGAAUCACUGGGCGUAAAGGGCGCGUAGGUGGCCACUAUAAGGCCGCGGUGAAAGUUCGGGGCUCAACCCUGAAUCUGCCGCGGCGACUGUAGGGCUUGGGCACUGUAGAGGCAGAUGGAAUUCCGGGUGUAGCGGUGGAAUGCGUAGAGAUCCGGAAGAACACCGGUGGCGAAGGCGGUCUGCUGGGCAGUGGGAGCGCAAGCUCCUCUUAGCCGACACUGAGGCGCGACAGCGUGGGGAGCAAA